AACACUGUCAGGAACUCAAUGCCCACCUGGUCAGCAUCAGCUCCCAGGAGGAGCAGCAGUUUCUCAUCUCUAAUGGUGAGGAAUACCAGUGGAUUGGACUCAAUGACAAAGAUAUGCAGAAUGUGUUCCGCUGGACAGACGGGAGUCCCCUGACCUUUGAGAACUGGAGGCCCAACCAACCAGAUAACUACUUUGACUCUGGGGAAGAUUGUGUGGUUAUGAUCUGGCAUGAGGGUGGACAGUGG
rnacentral:lncRNA from 1 species